AUACAAAUCAUCUGAAAAUCUUGUUAAGAUGCAGAUUCUGAUUCCUGAGGUGUGGGGUGGUCUGAGAUUUCUGCAUUUCUAACAAACUCCUAAUUGAGACUGAG
rnacentral:pre_miRNA from 1 species